GCUUCAGCUUCCCACCUAGCUACUAUCAUACAGCCAUGGCCGGUAAGAGCCCCUCCUAUUACCAAACUAGUCCAUGCCAAGAGGUCAAGCAAAAGGAACAUCGUUUCCACCUGUACAUGGACCAGCAUGGUGAAGGGAAAACUGGAGCCAACCAAAUAGUUCCUCUGAAGGAAACUCCAGCUACCGAAAUAGAUCGUGCGAAGGAAGUGAAGUUUGGUCUAACCGCCGUGGUUGAUUGGAGCGUACGUGACGGCCGUGCCCCCGAAGCAAACAUUGUUGCACGUGCAAAAGGCACGUCCAUCCUGGCAGAUAUGAGCCAGCAGACUUGGUUCAUGUGUUACACUUUGUUGUUCUCCGAUUAGAGGUUUAAGGGGUCCAGCCUUGAGUGCAUAGGAAGUCAUGUCGCCAAUACAGAUGGGCAAUAUGCUGUGACAGAGACGCCUUUGAGCAAGGUGGGACCUUGGGGUGGGAAUGGAGGGUCAACUUUUGACAUCCCAGACCAACCUCUGUCUAUUCAAUCUGUGACUAUCACAUGCAGUGAUGUCAUCAAUUCUUUAGCAUUUUCUUAUGUUGACAAAACCGGUCAGAAGAAAAACGUUGGACCAUGGGGUGGUGCGGGUCCACUUUCCGUGACGAUCACGCUUGCUUCUUCGGAGAUUUUGAAGCAAGUUACGGGAACAACCAACAGCAUUGGAGGUGACACUGUUGUAACGUCGCUUGCCUUCGCCACUAGUGUUACCACAUAUGGGCCUUUUGGAAAACCAAAUGGCACACCUUUCAGCAGCCAGGUGCCAGACAAUAGCAGCAUCGUGGGUUUCUACGCGCGUGCUGGAGGGUCUGUUAAUGCACUCGGAGCAUAUGUCUGCCCAAAUUAGCUCAAGGAAAUGUUGCUUUUCAGACAAGGCCAUCCCUUCUCCAGUAUUCGUUGAUCGUGUGGUCGGAACUACUUAAUUUGCUUUUCAUAAAUUUUGUAUUUCAUGUAGCCUACUUUUUCCAUUUUCAUGAGAAUAAAAUUGUG